CCUUUUGCUAUUUCUGAUCAAACAGGAAUAGCCAAACCAACUUUAUGCAAACAGGACUAGCCUAAGAGCAAAGCCAGAUCCCUGGUUGUAAGGUCUGAGGAUGAUGCAAACUUAAAAAAGAAGCCCUUUCCUCCCACCCAGGCCUUACCCUCUUUCAGACAAGGAGACCUGUGAAGCCCAGGGCGGGGCCUGAGCACCAGGGUCAAAGGUCCUGAAAGGUGAGGGCCGGGGUCCCAGGGCAGAGACUGAGCUCUGUGAGGGACAGCCCUGGCUGCCUCCCCAGCACAGGAACAGUGACCCCUACACAGAGCUUGGCAAAGGGGUGCUACUCUCCAAGGCUGACCUGUAUGCAUUCCCUGUGAGGUGCACAGUCCAGUUUACAUAAGAGGCCUUUGUGUCGUCCCAGAUAAGCAGACCCAGAGCAGUGCUUGGGAAUUUUGCAGGAUUUAGCACCGGCUGAGAUUUCCUGGGGGACGGUGAGGUGGGAGGGAGCAGGUUAAGAAAUAAUCUGUCUGAUCUAAGGAGGAAAAUGCUAACAACAGCAACAAUAAAAUAAUCCCUUGUGUGUGUAAUGCCUUGGUUUAUUCACAAGAGCACUUUUAGGAUAGACAAGAAACGGGUCCCACUGACUGCCUUUACUUACGGGGCGGACAGAAACGAAAGGGAGGUUGUUUUACUGUAUACCCUUUUACAUCUUUGAGGUCAUUAAAUUCUGAACCUUGAGGAUGAGUUACCCAAAAACAUACCAGGGGAAUUUUAAACUACUCUGAGUGUCUCCACAGCUGCCUGACAACACCAAGAAGCAGAGAGAACAAAGAUCAUCUGUCUUAUUUUGCAAAGGAGGAAGCCUGGGGCUAUAGGAGGCAAAGGACCUGCCACUUUGUGACGAGGAUGCCUGGAGAUAGGUGUGGGACCCGGCUCUUCAGACUCCAGGUCCAGAGUUCUCUUCCAGAGGCACCACCUGAAAGGCCAGCAGCUCCCAGAUUCACCCUCCAAGCUCAGUCCUUGCAGGGAAAGCUGAGAAAAGGCAUGGGGAGUUCUUGUCAUGGUGCAGCAGAAACAAAUCCGACCAGGAACCAUGAGGUUUCGGGUUCGAUCCCUGGCUUCACUCAGUGGAUUUAGGAUCCGGUGUGGCCGUGAGCUGUGGUGUAGGAUGCAGAUGCGGCUCAGAUCCUGCGUUGCUGUGGCUGUGGUGUAGGCCAGCAGCUGUAGCUCCGAUUUGACCCCUAGCCCGGAAACCUCUUUAUGCCGUGGGUUCAGCACUAAAAAGCAAAGUAAAUAAAUAAAAUAUACAUAAAUUAAAAAAAAAAUCUAUAAAAUGCCCCAAGUCCACAUGCUUAUUUAUGUAGUGGCCACAACUGCAUCUUCACUAGAUUCAUUAACUUGCAGAAUCUUAGGGUCAUGGUUAUUUAUAAACUGGGAGGGACUCAAGAAGGGUAGUCAAGUAUGAAAAUGAACACUGGACUUAGGAGCCAGGACGACCCUGGGUUCAAAGCCUGAUUUUGCUACUGACUUGGGUGGUGGUCUUAGACAUGCUGAUCGCUUCCCUUAUUUUGGCCUCAGCUUUCUCCCUAUAAAUAAAAGUCAAUCAACAGACAUGAAGAGAGUACCAUGUGUCUGACAUGGCUGUAGGCCCAGAUUCACAGGUAUGCCAGGCAGACCGGAUCCCUGUGCUCUGAAGGACCCGAUGUUGAAUGGGAGAAACCCACAAAGAAGGUGAGGUCAGGCCCUGGUAAGUGCUAUGAACUCAGCCCUGAACUUGUCCUGUAAUAGGAUGGAGGGUGUGGGAGGUCAGGGGAGGGCUCUGGCUGAAGAAGUGGCAGGUACACUGGGAGCUGAAUGAUGAGAGGCAGCCCUGACACGGGGGCCUGGGGCAGAGUGUGACAGGCAGGGCAGCAGACGCCAAGGGCCUGAGGCAGACACAUGUGAAGGACAGAGAGGCGCAGUGAGGAGUUGUGAGUAUGUGGCAGAGGCAGGGAGAUGAAAUUGGCGAGGCAGACCAGGGCCCACCUCUCCAGGUAAGGAGUUUGGUUGUGACUCUGGCUGCAAAGGGAAAUGACUAUAGAAAUUUGAUUUGUGAUGUUUCAAACUUUUUAUUUUUUGGCAGCAUAACUUUUCAAUCAAAUAAAAAUGAGUAGAACCUCAAUGUGAAACUAGAUAAAAGUACUAGUAUGGCUCUACUAGGUGAGGAGCUGGCUAAAGUCCUUGUGGUCCUGGGCCUCUGGAUCUUCUCUGUUCAGCCAAAGUGCUGCAGCUCAGAGGAGCUGGAAAGACACUAGGUGACCUAUCUCUGAGGCUCCUCAAGCACUAACCAGAGCCAGCAGGCCCAGGGAGAGGCAGCUUGGACGCGGGAUACUUGCUGGACCCCAGACAGGCCUGGAAAGAUUUUUAACUAAAUCCCUGAUGUGGACAUGCUUUCUGUGGAAACAACAACAAUAAAAUCUGGCUCCUCAAAGGCUCCAGUUAAAAUCACACUGCUGAAACUAUAGGGACAGAAAACAGAUCAGUGGUUGCCAGGGCCUGGGGUGAAGCAAGGACGCUGACACAAAGGGACACAAGGGAACUUUCUGGGUUGAUGGAAGUAAUCUAUAUCCCAAAGGUGGUGGUGAUUAUGGGGCUGCAAAUGUUGGUCAAAAUUCCCAGAAAUGUACACCUAAAAUGAGUGACAUAUACUGUGUGUAAAUUAAACAGCAGUAAACUAGAUUUUUUUUUUUUUAAUAUACUACUGGAAGACACCCCAGAGAUACUUUACAGGUGAGGAAAAACAACCAGCUCCUNNNNNNNNNNNNNNNNNNNNNNUGAAUAGUCCAGAGGACCUAGAACCUGGGACCUGCCCCCACCCACCCCACCCUGCCCCUCAGCUUCAAUUAAUAGCCUCUUCAGUGCCCAGGCUUCAGGCUUCUCUGGCUACAAAAUGAGGAGGUAAAUGAUUGCCACAGGCUUUCCCACUCCAGACAAUUACAUUUGAAGGAAUCUGGUAAAAGGGAAAGACCCCCAAAGCCAUGGAGUCAGAAAAGCUGGAAGAAAAAGUCCAGGUCUGUCACCUGCCAGCUGUGUGCCUGGGGCAGCCUCUCCCUCGUGAGGUGGGGUUAAUUGCAAGAACACAUCUGUCAACAUCUGACACACAACACACUCUCAAGAGGGGUGGCCUCUAUGACUAUUGGGGAGUUACCAUGCCUACACUGCUCUCCUGAUCCCGGUCCCAUCCAAGAAGAACAAUCUGGAGGUGAUCAGAAGGAAAAGAAAUCACGAAGUGCCUCCCUGCAUUGCAUAACCUGUGCUCAGCACACAGUACACACUCAGCACAGGUUAUCUUGCCAGGUAAACAGGAACACCCUGCCCCCUCCUUGACCACCGUAGCCACCAGGGGAGGGAGAGCAGGUUUGUUUAUGCCUAUCCAUCAACUCGCCACUUCCCCAUGGCUCUGGCAUUAUCUCAGGACACAAACUCACCCGAGGACACACUCCACCCAUCCCACAGCCCUUCCCUCGUCACCUGCUCUAAAGGGUGGUCCUGAAUAAUGACUCAAAGCUGCCUGCCAGACCUUGUUCUAUUUUUUCUAUCCUAAGAAGACCAAAAACACACAGAAACCAAAACAAAACAAAAACGGAAAACAAAAACCAACCCUUCAGGGAGGGAGUUUUUGCUUCCUGUCACAUCUACUCCAGAGGCACUGUGGUCAUGUAAAGAGUGUUGGCUGAGUUUUGCUCCACGGUGGGGCAGGAGGGAGGCAACACCCAGAAAUUAUCCCAAUUUUGCAGAAACAAAGAGCUAAGCAUCCUGGCAAAAGGCAACGGAUAGCAGGCCUAUAGCAGCCCAGGGAGGCUGAGCUCCACAGCAGCAGGCUCAAGGGACCCAAUACAACCAUCCGGCUCAACUCGAAAACACGGAGAUAACAGGAGAGACACUUGCCCUGUGCAGUCCCUGUCCAGGGCUCUUAGGCGCUGGCUGGGGAAGUGGGAACUCAAAACCUUGAGAGAAAGGAAAGGAUUUCCGAGCAGCGCAGUUAAGUCAAGUUACGGAGCAAGAACAAUAUAGUCUCUUGCUCUACUAGGAAGGCUGGCACCCAGGUGAAGAAACUGAUUCAUUAAUCACCAAUGUUAGUUAUCAAACAAUUGCUAGGAUACUGAGACAGCUACAUCUCGCUGUUUCUGUGCGGAGCCAUUGCCAGCGCUCGGUCCUCUCCCCCACCUUCCGGUGUCUAGUGAAGUUUUCAGUUCCUACGAGCUGAGCUGGGGGAGGGGACCCAGGCUGGCCCAGGCCGAGUAAAGUUCCACCACCAGGUCCACAAAGAGACUGCAGGGAGGCGUGGCCAGGCCGGAAAUUCUGACAAAAAGUUUUGGCCCUCCGGCCCUACAAGCAACUACUUCCUGGUCCCGCCUAGUCGUGGAGGGGGGGUGUCCCCUUCUGCCUAGGGUCCCCACCCGAGGGCCGAAUUGGAGACUCCGAUCGUGGUGGGGCAGGGCCAGGACGGCCAGGAGCCCCCCCUUG
ensembl:lncRNA